GGAUGUAAGAGCAAUCUGGUGGUGACAUAUGUCCUCCAAUUGAUCUUCAUAGUUGAUUAAGCUGGUCUGACUAGCUAGGUGUGUGUCCUUCCCAAAGCUGUGUGCUCGUUAGUAGAGCAUAACUUCAUAUAUGUAUGAGGAACAUUCUUUGAUAUAUUAAUAUCUGUGCUCCCAUGUUAGAGUCUCCAAACAAGCUCUCAAGAAAUAGUAAACUGAGUUGGAGAGAUGGCUCACUAAUUAAGAGCACUUACUGUUCUUAUUGAAGAUCUUGGUUUGAU
rnacentral:snRNA from 1 species